rnacentral:rRNA from 1 species
AUAUGCUUGUACUAAAAGAUUAAGCCAUGACAAGUGUAAGUAUAAAUAGAACAAAUUAUUGUACUAUGAGACUGACGAAUGGCUCAUUAAAUCAGCAAUCUAUUUAUUCGGUGGAUGAAGUAAUUACUAAAAUGGAAUAACCGUGGGAAAUCUAGAGCUAAUACAUGACAAAAGAGAAUUCUUUAGAAAAAGGAAUGCAUAUAUUAGAUACAAAUACCAAAAAUACAAAGGUGAAUCAUAAUAUUUAUAGCAAAUCAUAUAAGAAGGAGUGAUCUUUUCUUUGAUGAUAAACCGAUCAAAUUUCUGCCCUAUCAUACUUUGGACGGUAAUGUAGUGGAUUACGGUGGUGAUGACGGGUAACGGAGAAUUAGGGUUUGAUUCCGGAGAGGGAGCAUGAGAAAUGGCUACCACUUCCAAGGAAGGCAGCAGGCGCGUAAAUUACCCAAUCCUAAAACAGGG